GUCACUUUUGAAACUAACAUUUUAAACUUCUUGUUUUUUUUAUGAAAAAGGUACAGUUUUAUUUAUCUAAACAACAAAGAAAGAAAAGCAAUCUACACACUCAAAAGAAAUUAAAAUUGGUGCUCUACGUCUAUUUAACUCAUUUUAAAAUACUACGUACAGAAGCCAGAAUGCAGGGUGAGGAUGGAGUGGGAGAAAAAGGGCCACGAAGAAAAACAGUUAGACAAUUACUUGUCUGGUGUGGGCAAAGCAACAGGAAUCCUGGGAGAUACAAGAAUCAGUAACAACUGUUUGCUCAUAACUGCUAUUUUUCCCUCAUUUUGUUUUUAGUAACGUCCGUAUGGGUGCUCUCUGUAGGCGCCCUUCACCGGCCGGGCUGGUGGGGCCUUCAGGGAGGGCCUGGUACCAUUCCAGUCAUCUUGGCCAUAAGCUUCAUAGGUUUCCUGUGCCUCCCCGUGUCCAUAAUCAUAGUAUUCUGUGUCCCCUUGGCCCUGGCUGUAGUAGCCUUCGUAGCCCUCAUAGCUCUGGUCUGCAUAUGCAUCAUCAUAACCGUAUUCCUCGUAGGUUUCUGGCGCGGGAGGAGGAGGAAGAGGUAUCCGCUGGAUGCCGGCCGCACGUGCUCUGGGUGCCGGAGCACCCCGGACUGCUGGGGGGGGAGGCACCCCGCGGGCUACAGCUGCUCCCCUGGCAAUGGCACCCCGCACCGGGGCUCCUCGCACCAGGGCCCCCCGGGGAGGAGGCGGCGGAGGGGGAGGACCAACACCACGCCCCCUUGGAACAGGUGGAGGCGGUGGUGGAGCUGCUCCCCUUCCCCGCACAGGGCCUCCUCGGCCACGAGUUGGCUCUGGUACGCCGUUCAGAUAGGAGAGCUCCAAGAAUUGCUCCUGACAGAUAUCAUCCAUCAUAUCUGGGACAAGGAACUUCUUGACCUCUUCCAUGGCAUGAGCCAUCAGAGCAUAUGCUUCACAAGGGGGUCCAAACACUUCAAUGAAGACAUGCAAAUCCAUAUUUAGAUGAGCAUAUUUAGGAUCUCCCCCUUUACGCAGCUCUUCCUCCUUUGCCUUAUCUCGCAUUGAACCCUUCCCAAGCACAGAGAUCUUAGCACCAGUUUCCUCCUGAAGCCUCUUGAUGGUGUUACCUUGAGGUCCCAAAAUCUUUCCAACAAAGUUGAACUUGGGGUACUGUUUGACAGGUAUCAGAACUCGUUCUUUCAGUUUCAUAUUCUUGUGAGAAAAUAAAUCCAGGUAGUUCUCUUCCUCAUCCUUCUUUGUUGUUUCACCCUUCUGAAUUUUUUCAAUUUCUGCGCUGAGGAGCUGCAUGGCGUGCGUGAAGGACGGGUCCAGGCUGUCCUUCUCGGCCAUCAGCUCGGGCAGGUAUUUGUUCUCGGGCUCCAUCUUGACGGCGCCCCCGGGCAGCAGCGGGGCGGGGUUGGCGGCGGCGGGGCCCUGCGCGCCCGAGGAGCCGGCGGCCGCCCCGCCGGUCAGCAGCGGCUGUGGCUGCUGGGCCCCGGCCCCACGGCCCCCCCCGCCUCGGGGAGACCGCCGCGGAUUGGGACCCCCUUGGCGGGCGCCUCCGGGACCCCCCGGCCCCCGGCCCAUACGGGCGGAGGAGUCGUCGCGGCGCUGCAUGCGGGCGGAGGGGCGGGCGCGGAGCGGAACGGGCCCGAACGGCGCUGCCACACCGACCGCCGCAGCGCUCGGGCCGGAAGUGAGGGGCCGGAAGGACCGCCCCAUCCCUCACAGCGCCCCCCCCCCCUCCCUCAGCGGUUCCCGCGCGACCACCCCACGCGCCUUUGCGCCUGCGCCGGCACUCCGCCUCACUCCCGGCGGCACGCCUCCCCGCCCGCACGCGGAACGCAUGCGCGAAGCGCCGCGGGCAGACCGAGAAAGAACCGUUCUGUUGGGGCGCGCGCGCAGCGCCCGGCGUGGGAUAGGGGGACGGACACGUGCGUGGGCGGGGCUGUCGCGCUGUCCGUCGUGAGUGCGCACGCGCAGCGCCGUGGCGCCACACUCAAGAGGUUGUGCGCGUGCGCUCAGGGCAGGGCUGGGGGGUGCGGUGUGAAGGGCCGCCACGGCCCGACGGGUGGGGUGGGAUGCGGUGCCUGGCGGGAGCCGGGCCUGGUCCGGGGCGGGCCCUGGCCCUCGUCCUGAUGUCUCCGUGCUGCUCUGUGAGGCUCUGCUCUGCUCGGCCUGGCGGCUGUGUGCACUGCCUGCUGCCGCAGCAAGGAGCGAAAGGUGGCUGGGCUGUGUGAGGGCUGCUGGCUUUGGUGCCCAGCAAUAAAAUCAGCGCCUUCAGCAGUUAAUUCGGACCCUUCAGCAAGCUGACCGACUGCCGAGGGCAGGCUGCGUUCCCCUGGCUGAGCAGGCAGCCUGUAAGCUCGGGCUCAGCACUGCUCGAGCCGCGGGGAGCUGCGCUGUGCCCUGCGAGCCGUGCAGAGGGCUGAGAUGUUCCUUUGUUACCACCCCGUGGAGCCCGCAGAACGGCGCAGUGCAGCCCUGGGCUCGGCCAAAGCCUCUGAAACGGUUCCUGGGUGUUAAAGCGGACGUGAUGCCCCUCUAGGCAGUGCUGGGGACAGGCAGAGGAGCGAUGGGCUUUUCUUUGGCUGAAAACAGGGGCUGGGCGUGCUGCCAUCCCUGCUUCCAGCGUUCGCUCCUCUUACAGGAGCAGCGGGUGGCUGCUGUGGCUGCGAUCGCUGCCCCGCUUGCUCCCUGCUACUGAGACAAGGGGAGUUAACCAGCGAGCUGGCUGAUAAAAGGCUUUUGUUGAGCUGCAGAAGAGGCCCGGGGGGCUGCAGAGCUCCACGUUGUGCGCUGUGCCGAUGGACGGGCGGCGAGGGGCCCCGCGGGAGCCUUCUGCCGGCAGGAGCACAGAGGCGCUCCUGUUCCCGUUCCAGGGCGGUCGCACCCGACCCAAACUAACGGGGCACGUGGCUGAGGACUGCAUCCCUGCCCACGCUGGGGACGGGGCUCGCGGCGUGGCUGCUGGCCCUGCCGGCGGCAGCGGAGCGCAGUGAGCGGCGAGGCUCGGGCUGCCGUGCCGGGUCGCCGCGCGAGGCUGAGGCGCUUUUGGCCGUUUCUAUAGCCGUUAACGCCGCGGCGGCUGCCGGGCGGCAUCGCGGAUCUGCGCCGUGGGAACGGCCGCGCGGGCCGAACCACC
rnacentral:lncRNA from 1 species